GUGGAAUCGUUGAACGGUUUGGGUUGGAACGGACAUUAAAGAUCCUCUGGUUCCAAUCCCCUGCCAUGAGCAGGGACAUCUUCCACUAGACCAGGUUGCUCCAAGCCCCGUCCAACCUGUCCCUGGACACUCCCAGGAUGUCUGGCUGCAAUGCAGACACAUGAGCAGGUGUUCUGAGCAGGCAGAUUGCUGGAGUUCAAAUCAGAUGUUGGUUUGAACUCCCUUGGAAAAUGAAGGAAAAUGCUGUGUUGUGAGAGGUCCCCCUGGGCUUGCUGGGUUUUCUAUCCAUUAUUCAUCUCAGAAAGAAUUUCUUCACUGAAAGGGUGGUCAGGCAUUGGAACGGGCUGCCCAGGGAAGUGGUGGAGUCACCAUCCCUGAAAGUGUUCAACAUGGCACUUAGUGCUGUGGUUCAGUUGGCGUGGUGGCAUUUGGUCAAUGUUUGGACUCAAUAAUCUUGAAGGUCUUUUCCAACCUUAAUGAUCUUGUGAUUCUAUUCUAUGACUAUUUCUGUCCCUGAGGCCCAGGAAUUGAGUAUUUAGCUCCAUGUCUGCAAGCAAAGGGUUAAGGACAUGAGAGCUGGAGCCCCUGGUUGUGGAAAUGAUCAUCGUUUAUCAUUUCCUAGCCUCUGCCUUGGUCUUUCUACCUGUAAAGUGUGAACAGUCACAGUUUGGAGACUGGACAUCAGUUGAAAAAGAGUGAUACAUUUUCACAGAGGGGAAGAUCCUUAAAUCCCCCUAUUUACUCUUUCUGAUUUCUCAGAAGACCAAAUCAGUUUCAAAUGGAUUGUGUUCUUCUUUAGACUCUUUAGAAUAUCUAUUAAUACAAUUUCAGCUUUCAGAAAUAGCAGCUUCUUUCAUUUACUGAGAGGUUUUCAAACAGCUUUCUGUGUCUGAAUAACUUAUGCAAUAAAUAGCUUGAAUUUCUGUAAGUGAAAACUCCCAUUUGAUUGUUAUAGUUCUUUUCUCUAAUUGCUGAUUAUCAAGAGACUGGAUUCAGGCAACAGAAGAAAAAUGCUUAUAUGGGAAGAAAUUUUUCUUUAUUCUGCCCAUGAAUGCUUUGAUUUUGAGCAGUGAUGCAGAAAACCACAGUGCUAUCUUUAGUAUGUUUUGGGAAAUUUCCCAAAUGUAUCAGGGAAUAUGUAUAAGAAAUGACACUAUAGAAUAAUUUCUAUUACCAAAACCAAAAUAAAAAUCAGGACUAAAUUGUACUAAAGAUGCAUUUUUCUAAAGGCAUAAUAUGAAAUGGCUUUUGUUCAGAAAUACCAAUUUAUUACAGAAUUGAGAGUUUGCUGCAGUGGUAACAUCACAGAAAUAGACAACAGAAACUGAAGACAUUUGAACAGCUCUGUCUCUGUCUGGCAUAAUCUCUAUAUCAAUGAAUUAUACAUUUAUAUAUCCAUUGCUCUGUUCUGAACUAUCCUUGCUAACCACUUAUUUCCCAGAAGUGGAACAGAGGUUAUUGAAAAGCUGAGAUGCAUUUUGUGAAUUCUUGGAAAUGUGCAAGCUCUUCAUAGCUUGGGUUCACUAUCUGUGUCCUACACAUGCCAUGACCCACUUAGGCUUUGUGUUUCCUUGAGGGCAAAGAAGUUUUUAAGGCCAGAAGGACAUCUGGGGUCUAUUCUUAGCCACCAUUAACUUGGUUAAUGAAUGGAAUAAAUAGCAUGUGCAACAUCAUGGGAAAAAUCUGCCUGCUGGCACAGGCUGUGCAGCUGACCAGUCCUGCAGGUCCGUAAGGGUUUCUGGGUUUUGUAGUGGCACUUCAGGGCACCCCAGUUUUUGGGAUUGUUAAAUGUUUGGACAGUGCUUCCUCGGUGCCCAGCUGAGAAAGUCAGGCUGUUGGCACGGUAAGAAAGGCAGGUGGCUGCUUAUGUUUCCAACAGGAUGUCUGAGAUUUUGGGACUUGUAGGGGGUGAUUUUGUUAGGGCACAGGAUUAGGAUUUCAAGAUAUCAUAAUUUCUUUACUCAGUUUUUUCAUGAAGGGAUUACUUCUCCAUUCAGUCACCCCAUGGGCAUGCAGGGAUGCUGAUUCUACUACAGAGGUGCUGUGAGGGUUAAUUAGUGAUGGCAAAACAUUUUGAAAUGGCUGAUUGAGAAAUGCUGACAGAGAUGAAAGCUGAAUAAGUAUCUAGAUAAAUAAAUAUUCCUUUGUAGUCUUAUCAUUACAGGAAAUUCCCCGUGUACCCAGGAUGCUGCACAGGUCACUGAGCAGUCAUCUCCCCAUUGCCCAGAGUGUUCUCAAGGGGACUCAUUUAUUUCAGUAUUUCACUUUAGUUUCUGUGAUGUGAGCCACAAUAUGUGCCAGAGAGAAAAGCCUGGCAGCCACCAGCAAACACCACAGAAAUACCAAAGGGAUUGGCAGAUUUUUCUUUCCCUGGAGCUCUUGUUCUGCUCUUUCCCUGUGAAUUGUGCAACUGCAGAACCUGGAGAAUCCCAGGAGAGAGAAGAGGAAGUUGGAGCCUAUUCCCAUGAUUAAAGACAAUGAAGAAGAAGGUAUCCUCAAGUGAGUGUCCACAAGACAACACCUGCAAGAGCUCUGCUGAAGGCAGUGCAGCCAGCUCUCUGCUUCAGUAUGGUCUCUGAUCAUCUCCCUUCCCAGCACCAAACCAUCGUGAAGGCCAGGCUGAACGGCUGCACAAAUUGACUGCUGCGUCAGCACAGCAAAUCCAGGGCCUCUCAACAGCAACAGGGAUGUCUCCUGUCUCCUUAGGUCAUAGGGUACAGGGAAGUGCUGGCCUGAUGUAAAAAGCAUCACUACAGCUUGGGGUGGAGCCAUCCCAAAGCAGGUCUGAUGCAAGAAGUGAGUCAGAGACCUUUUGACACAGUUUGACCUGACAGAUGCAGCGACUCAGUGGCAGUGUGAGGAGCUCAUAUUGUUUUGUAAAUGGAAUAAAGUUCAUUUAACACA